GCCAACGGCCUUGUCGCGUUGAAAACACCAGUUCCCAUCCGAACACUGAAGUUAAACAACGUCGAGCGUGGCUGGCAUCUGGACGGGUGACUGUCCGGGGACAGACGCGUGCUGCUGGCA
rfam:Asian citrus Psyllid, Diaphorina citri - Florida Strain, whole genome shotgun sequence.